UUACCUGGUUGGUCCUGCCAGUAGUCAUAUGCUUGUCUCAAAGACUAAGCCAUGCAUGUCUAAGUACAUGCCGAAAUAAGGUGAAACCGCGAAUGGCUCAUUAAAUCAGUUAUGGUUUCUUAGAUCGUACUUUUUUACUUGGAUAACUGUGGUAAUUCUAGAGCUAAUACAUGCAGCAGAGCCCCGACCUUAGGGAAGGGGCGCUUUUAUUAGACCAAGACCAAUCGGGCUUCGGCCCGCUUACCAUGGCGACUCUGGAUAACUUUGGGCAAAUCGCACGAUCUCGUAUCGGCGAUGUUUCUUUCAAGUGUCUGCCUUAUCAACUUUCGAUGGUAGGCUACGCGCCUACCAUGGUCGUAACGGGUAACGGGGAAUCAGGGUUCGAUUCCGGAGAGGGAGCCUGAGAAACGGCUACCACAUCCAAGGAAGGCAGCAGGCGCGCAAAUUACCCACUCCCGGCACGGGGAGGUAGUGACGAAAAAUAACAAUACGGGACUCUUUUGAGGCCCCGUAAUUGGAAUGAGUACACUCUAAAU
rnacentral:rRNA from 1 species